UCCAUCUACGCACCGAGUGUGGGCCCAGGA
rnacentral:piRNA from 1 species